ensembl:lncRNA
AUCAGUAAAAACUUCAUGUUGAAAAAAGAUUGUGAAAAAAAGCAGAGUACAAAGUUGUACUACAUGCUGUAUGAUCCAAGCUAUGUUGAAAUGCAUUAAAAAAAUUUUUUAAAGAUGAAAACACCUUCUUGUGUCUAGCCAGUGGAUGAUGAUUUUUUUUUUGUCUUCUGCCUACUUUUCUUUUUUUUUAAGUCAGUUUUUAAUUCAUUACAAUAUUGCUUUUGUUUUAUGUUUUGUUUUUUUGGCCAGGAAGUAUGUGGGAUCUUAGUUCCCCAACCAGGGAUUGAACUUGAACCCCCUGCACUGUAAAGUGAAGUCUUAAUCACUGGACCACCAGGGAAGUUCCCUUCCUACUUUUCUGUGUUUUACUAAUUUUUCCAUGAGCAUGUUGUUGUUGUUGUUGUUGUUUUAAAUUUUUUGGCUAUGCCACGUGGCAGGUGGGAUCUUAGUUCCUCAACGAGGGAUCAACCCCUAUCCCCUUGCAAUGAAAGUGCAGAAUCUUAUCCGCUGGACUACCAGAGAAGACCCCAGCAUGUAACUUUAUAAAGAUGAUAAGGAUGAGGGGAGAAAGGAAGAGGAGGAGCAGGUCCAUCCAGCUCUGUUUUGCUGCUGCUGCUGCUGCUGCUAAGUUGCUUCAGUCGUGUCCGACUCUGUGUGACCCCAUAAACAGCAGCCCAACAGGCUCCCUCGUCCCUGGGAUUCUCCAGGCAAGAACACUGGAGUGGGUUACCAUUUCCUUCUCCAAUGCAUGAGAGUGAAAAGUGAAAGUGAAGUCACUGUGACUCUUCAAGACCCCAUGGAUUGCAGCCUACCAGGCUCCUCCGUCCAUGAGAUUUUCCAGGCAAGAGUACUGGAGUGGGGUGCCAUCGCCUUCUCCGAGCUCUGUUUUAGAAACAGGCAAUAAAGAUGUAUUUACCAAACAAUUCUGUCUCCUGGGAAAAGGGUAAGGUUUUAUAUGUGAAUACAUUUAAGUCUGAAUUAUCUACUUGCUUCAUGAGCCCUACAAUUUAUGAGAUUGAAUAAAAUCAUGAUUACUAGCAGUUCAUCCAGGCUUACAACAAGUUGUUUCCAAUAAGUUAUGUGCUGGGCUUCCAGAGUGGGGAAAAUAUCCUUUUGGAUUUCCUUCUACUAAUACCUAAUUGUCUCCUGCAAAACAGAUUGCUGUGGGUGUUAUUGAUAGUUUCUUUUUUUUAAUGAAAGGUGAGUUUGUGUAUUAUUGGAACUCAUUUGCAAAUAUGAUCUAAAAUAUCAGUAUUAAAGGCAAGAAAUGUAUUUUUCUGCAUUUGGACUGUCUCCGCACCUUUUUGAGGUCUAGAUCCU